AGAACGAACGCUGGCGGCAUGCCUAACACAUGCAAGUCGAACGUGAUCCAUGACUUCGGUUGUGGUGAAAGUGGCAAACGGGUGAGUAACGCGUGGGAAUCUGCCCAGAGGUAGGGAAUAACCGCGGGAAACUGCGGCUAAUACCCUAUGUGCCCUGAGGGGCAAAGAUUUAUCGCCUUUGGAGGAGCCCGCGUCGGAUUAGGUAGUUGGUAGGGUAACGGCCUACCAAGCCUACGAUCCGUAGCUGGUCUGAGAGGAUGAUCAGCCACACUGGGACUGAGAUACGGCCCAGACUCCUACGGGAGGCAGCAGUGGGGAAUAUUGGACAAUGGGGGCAACCCUGAUCCAGCAAUGCCGCGUGAGUGAUGAAGGCCUUCGGGUUGUAAAGCUCGUUUCGGCGGGGAAGAGUGAUGACGGUACCCGCAGAAGAAGCCCCGGCUAACUUCGCGCCAGCAGCCGC
rnacentral:rRNA from 1 species